UGAGAAUCCCACAGGCCGUAAACCCAAGGUUUCCAGGGGAAGGUUCGUCCGCCCUGGGUUAGUCGGGACCUAAGCUGAGGCCGAAAGGCGUAGGUGAUGGACAACAGGUUGAUAUUCCUGUACUACCGAUAACCGUUUGAGAGAUGGGAUGACACAGUAGGAUAAGCUAAGCACACUGUUGGUUAUGUGUGCCCAAGCAUUGAGGCAGUCAGAGUAGGUAAAUCCGCUUUGAUAAUGCUGGGAUGUGAUGGGGAGCGAAAUUUAGUAGCGAAGUAGCUGAUUUCACACUGUCGAGAAAAGUCUCUAUCGAGGUUAAAGGUACCCGUACCGCAAACC
rnacentral:rRNA from 1 species